rnacentral:lncRNA from 1 species
CUACAGCUAGUACCAUAAUCAAUGUUGAAAUGCUGAAUGCUUUUUCUCUAUGAUCAGGUCAGAUUCUUUUCUUUUCUCCAUACCUAAUAUAUCCAUCCAUAGUUCUUGGUUCAUAUAUUUCUCUAAAAUAUAUUCUUUCCAGGGGAGGAGCCAAGAUGGCGGAAGAGCAUGGAAGCUUUUUGCGUGUCUUGUGUCCAUGAAAUACAGCCAGACCAACACUAAACCAUCCUACACACCUAGAAAACUGAUUGGAAGAUUAACACAACAAUCUGCACAACCUGAACCACAGAAUUCAGCAGGUAUGCGACAUGAAGAGCUGAACUUGGGCAGCAAGAAGCCCCGAAAGGUGAAGAACUGUGUGCUAUUGAAGAUUCUCUCCUAUUUCUUCAAAAGGCCCAUGCUCAUCAAGAGGCUAGGGAGAGGAGUGUGGAUUCAGGAACCCGAGUUAUCGAAAGCCCAUGUACUGGGUACUACAUUGUACAGAAACCCCAAGAAGAGUGAGCAGCAAGUUAAACAUCUUUUACUAAGGGCUGUCUUUCUUUUAACUAUCUUUCUAUAUCCUGGAGCUCGUUGGUCUUACUGUGGCAUUCUUCUGCAAAGGUAGUCUGAUUUCAUUAAGUGAGAGAGUGACAGGAUGUUUCCUGAGACGUGUUUUGCCAAUAGGAAUACAGCAUACAAUGCAUAAGGUAUGUAUUAAAAAAUCAUCAGAAAUGCUAUAUAGGUAUAAGUCACUACAUCAAAACAUAUUUCUGUUCAAAACAAUAUAUUUUUAUUCAGUCCAGAAAUACUUUUUGAAUAUAUGUCAAAAGUUUUAAGGUGUUAAUAUCACAUUGUAUUCUUUAGCUACUCAAGAAGAUAGGCAUUGUCCCUUAGUUAGCACAUUUGAUUUUCUUUGGGUUUUAAAAUAAAAAUUAAUAUACUCACUUUAUUAAAAUUUCA